CAGGUUACAUGCGGUGCAGUAUGGUAGUGGAAAAUGCUGCAUCCCUUGUGACCUCCG
rnacentral:pre_miRNA from 1 species